UACGGAGGAUCCAAGCGUUAUCCGGAAUUACUGGGCGUAAAGAGUUGCGUAGGUGGCAUAGUAAGUUGGUAGUGAAAGCGUUCGGCUCAACCGGGUAGACAUUAUCAAAACUACUAAGCUAGAGGAUGAGAGAGGCUAUCGGAAUUCCCUGUGUAGGAGUGAAAUCCGUAGAUAUAGGGAGGAACGCCGAUGGCGUAGGCAGAUACCUGGCUCAUUCCUGACACUCAGGCACGAAAGCGUGGGGAGCAAACGGG
rnacentral:rRNA from 1 species